GUUGGAGACUUCAACGAGAUUUUAUACUCGCACGAGAAGGAGGGUGCAUCGAGGCCAGUUAGUAUGAUGCAAAACUUCAGGGAUGCACUGGUUGAUUGUGAACUUGAGGACAUGGGUUUUGUCAGUGAGCAAUUUACGUGGAGAAGACGCAGAUUGCGGGAACGAUUGGACAGAGCAGUGUGCAACCGAGAUUUCCUUGGCUUGUUCCCUGCUGCUGUAGUCACAAAUGCAGCCCACACAAAAUCAGAUCAUCGGCCGGUGGUGAUAGACUUGGAAGGUGCAGCAGGUAUGGACCAGCAGACUUGUUUGAGAGGAGGAGACGCAGCAGAGGGUCACAGAGGCUUGGGAGAGGACAUGCAUGUCUGA
rnacentral:rRNA from 1 species